GUGAUCUCCAUCCUGUGAAUACAAGGGAGAUGAUCUUUGACAUCUUCUAUAUGCUCUUUAACCUUGGAUUGACAGCAUAUUUGAUUGGAAAUAUGACCAAUUUGGUUGUUCAUGGGACCAGUCGAACUAGAAGAUUUGUGAGUAAUCCUUAUUCAUUGAAAUGGUAAUCAUGCUCUCCAAUUCAUGAAUUCAUUAUUCAUAGAUUCCCCUGUAUUUUCGAAAUUCCCAGCGAGAUGCCAUACAAGCAGCUUCGAGUUUUGCUCAGAGGAACCAACUGCCUC
rnacentral:lncRNA from 1 species